GCUGUAACAAAAGACAAAGGAAAUGUACAAACUAAAGAAUAACCUUAUCAUGCGUUAAAACUGGAUCAAUUAGCAGUGCCAAAAUUAAGGAUAUUCAAGAUAUGCAGAAGUAUAUAAGCUUAGAAAUGAUUUAAACCAUCCUGGAGGAGCAAAUUUUGUGAAGAAGCCAGUAGAUGUCAAAAGAAAUAAAAAGAAUGGAACAAAAGGAAAAUUGAAAAAGAACAGUGAUAUGACAAUAUUGAAUAAAUGUUUUGCAUUUCUAA